rnacentral:rRNA from 1 species
GGCCUACGGGAGGCAGCAGUAGGGAAUUUUCGUCAAUGGGCGCAAGCCUGAACGAGCGAUGCCGCGUGAGUGAAGAAGGCCUUCGGGUCGUAAAGCUCCGUUGCGGGGGAAAAGAGGCAGCAUCAGGAAAUGGGUGCUGACUGAUGGUGCCCCGCCAGAAAGUCACGGCUAACUACGUGCCAGCAGCCGCGGUAAUACGUAGGUGGCGAGCGUUAUCCGGAUUUAUUGGGUUUAAAGGGUGCGUAGGCGGGCUUUUAAGUCAGCGGUAAAAAUUCGGGGCUCAACCC